AUUGAACGCUGGCGGCAGGCCUAAAACAUGCAAGUCGAGCGGAGCGGCGGACGGGUGAGUAAUGCCUAGGAAUCUGCCUGGUAGUGGGGGAUCACGUACGGAAACGGGCGCUAAUACCGCAUCCUAUCAGCUCAGCCUAGUUCGGCUUAGCUAGUUGGUGGGGUAAAGGCCUACCAAGGCGACGAUCCGUACCUGGUCUGAGAGGAUGAUCCGUCACACUGGAACUGAGACACGGUCCAGACUCCUACGGGAGGCAGCAGUGGGGAAUAUUGGACAAUGGGCGAAAGCCUGAUCCAGCCAUGCCGCGUGUGUGAAGAAGGUCUUCGGAUUGUAAAGCACUUUAAGUUGGGAGGCGUUACCAACAGAAUAAGCACCGGCUAACUUCGUGCCAGCCGCCGCGGUAAUUC
rnacentral:rRNA from 1 species